AAGUGGAAUAAUAGCAGGAGUGAAAUGUAGCCGCCAGCACGGGCCGCCACGCCAACCAUCGGUCUUUCCUCAACCCCGUAGAGAUUAGCAGAUCCAGUUGUCUACUCUUGCUGCGAGAAAAUACGCAUUUUGCUUGGUCUAGGAAAAGAGCUCCGAGUUGUGCUCAGUGUAGUUUGUGUCAGGAGAAAGCACCUCAUCUCUGUUGGACCUGGGGUUGUACAUUCCUGCUCUACGUCGGAGGAUGUUGUCGGCGUACUGGCACCCUGCUGUGGUGCUAAUGGUGCUACCGCUGAUGCUUUCUACAACAAGUGUUCAAGUUAUUGCCAAAUGGAAAUCUUGUGGUUCGCUCAGGACAGAAUAUACGUUUGACCACCAUGAUAGAAACUUUGCGGAAGCUGCGAACUAUUGCAAGAGCCUUGGGAAGGGCAGCAAUUUAGCAAUUCCACGUAGCGACGCUGAGCUUCAGUGUGUCUUCAGUACUAAACCCGCCCGAACUACAAACUGGAUUGGCUUUCGAUCAUAUUUGGUUCACCCACUAAUGAAGUUUGUAUCAAUUGAUGAUAACCAAACGGUUACAUACUCGAAAUGGGCCAAGCAUCAGCCAAGUCCACCUGAGCAGAUCUUACAACUGUGUGUAUCAAUGUGGUAUGCACCUUCACACGAUACCAACGGUGAAUCCUGGGAUAAUGUCGGAUGCGAGGCCAAACUCCCGAGUGUGUGUCAAC